AUUGAACGCUGGCGGCAGGCCUAACACAUGCAAGUCGAGCGAGCGGCGGACGGGUGCGUACUGUAUGGGGACUGCCCGAUAGAGGCGGAUAACUACUGGAAACGGUAGCUAAUACCGCAUUCAAUCGGCUAACCCAUACGGGACUAGCUAGUAGGUGAGGUAAUGGCUCACCUAGGCAACGAGCCCUAGCUGGUCUGAGAGGGUGAUCAGCCACACGGGGACUGAGAGACGGCCCAGACUCCUACGGAGGCAGCAGUGGGGAAUAUUGCACAAUGGGCGCAAGCCUGAUGCAGCCAUGCCGCGUGAGUGAAGAAGGCCCUAGGGUUGUAAAGUCCUGUCAUUCGGGAGGCGUUACCGACAGAAGAAGCACCGGCUAACUCCGUGCCAGCAGCCGCGGUAAUAC
rnacentral:rRNA from 1 species